rnacentral:rRNA from 1 species
ACGGGUGAGUGGCACGGGGGCAACCUGCCUGUAACACUGGGAUAACUUCAGGAUGCCCAACCUAAUACCGGAUAUGAUCUUCUCCUUCUGGGAAGAUGAUUGAACGAUGGUUUCUGAUAUCGCUUACAUAUGGGCCCGUUGAGCUUUAGCUAUUUGGUGACGUAACAGCUCACCAUGGAAACGAUGCGUAGCCCACCUGAGAGGGUGAUCGGCCACUCUGGGACUGACACACGGUCCACACUCCUACGGGAGGCAGCAGCAUGGAAUCUUCCGCAUUGGACGAAAGUCUGACGAACCAAGGCCGCGCGAGUGAUGAAAGUUUUCCGGUCGUAAAACUCUGUUGUUAGGGAACAACAAUGACCAAACUAACUGCUUGUACCUUGACGGGACCUAACCUNNAAGCCACGGCUAACUACGAGCCAACAACCUGGGUAAGACCUACGUGGCAAUCGUUAUCCGGAAUUAUUGGGCGCAAAUCGCGCGCNCGCGGUUUCUUAACUCUGAUGUGAAAGCCCACGGCUCAACNNUGGAGGGUCAUUGCAAACUGGGGAACUUGAGUGCAUAAGAGAAAAGCGGAAUUCCACACGUAGCGGUGAAAUGCGUAGAGAUGUGAAGGAACGCCAUGGCUAAGGCGGCUUCUGGUCUGUANCUGACGCUGAGGCGCGAACGCACCGGAGCACACCUGAUUACAUACUCUGGCNCCNCACCUCGUACACUAUGANUGCUACUGUUAAAUGGUUCCGCCUUUAUGCUGCAGCUAACGCAUUNGCACUCNGCCUGCGNAGUCGGUCGCAGACUGAACUCAAAGAAUGACGGGGNNCGCACACUGAGGACAUGUNCUGAUCCAUCACNCNANACUUACAGGCUNACUCUCGACACCUGAUUNAGCUUCACUUCGGGA